rnacentral:tRNA from 1 species
AGGUGGCUCAGUGGUUGAGUGUCUGACUUUGGCUCAGGUCAUGAUCCCAGGGUUCAGGGAUCGAUUCCCUGCUU